rnacentral:rRNA from 1 species
AUUGAACGCUGGCGGCAGGCUUAACACAUGCAAGUCGGGCGAGUGGCGGACGGGUGAGUAAUGUAUGGGGAUCUGCCCGAUGGAGGGGGAUAACUACUGGAAACGGUAGCUAAUACCGCAUACCAUCAGAUCAACCCAUAUGGGAUUAGCUUGGUGGUAGGGUAAAGGCUUACCUAGGCGACGAUCCCUAGCUGGUCUGAGAGGACGAGCAGCCAAACUGGGACUGAGACACGGCCCAGACUCCUACGGGAGGCAGCAGUGGGGAAUUUUGCACAAUGGGGGCAAGCCUGAUGCAGCCAUGCCGCGUGUAUGAAGAAGGCCUGAGGGUUGUAAAGUACUUUCAGUCGGGAGGCGUUACCGACAGAAGAAGCACCGGCUAACUCCGUGCCAGCUGCCGCGGUAAUAC